rnacentral:rRNA from 1 species
ACGUAGGGCGCAAGCGUUAUCCGGAAUUAUUGGGCGUAAAGAGCUCGUAGGCGGUUUGUCGCGUCUGCCGUGAAAGUCCGGGGCUCAACUCCGGAUCUGCGGUGGGUACGGGCAGACUAGAGUGAUGUAGGGGAGACUGGAAUUCCUGGUGUAGCGGUGAAAUGCGCAGAUAUCAGGAGGAACACCGGUGGCGAAGGCGGCUUCCUGGACCGACACUGACGCUGAGGCACGAAAGCUAGGGGAGCAAACGGGA